AUUGAUGGAAAAGGGGUGAAAAAAUUGAUACUAUGACAUCAUUUAGAAAAAAAUAUUAUACCUAUGGUUGAUGCGUUGUUCGGUAAGAUGUGAAAGGUUAAUUAUGGCUGGGCCUGAUACCCUUGUCUAGGAGGUUGAUAUCCUCUAAGAAUCAUGGCAAAUACAGUGAACCCCACAAACAGACCAAGGAAGAAAAAAAUGUAAGAAGCAUUUGCACUUCCUACCUAGCUAAAUGAAACAUAGCAGAAAGUGCAUUCGCCAAUGAGCUUGAACAACUACAAAGACACUGCCCCGCAGCUUCAAUGAACUUAAGAAUCCCCUGCACUCAUAAUCCACACAAAAUUAUUAUACAUCUAUCAUGUCAAGUUAG
rnacentral:lncRNA from 1 species